AGUGGCAGACGGGUGAGUAAUGUAUAGGAAUCUACCUAGUAGUACGGAAUAAUUGUUGGAAACGGCAACUAAUACCGUAUACGCCCUACGGGGGAAAGAUUUAUCGCUAUUAGAUGAGCCUAUAUUAGAUUAGCUAGUUGGUAAGGUAAUGGCUUACCAAGGCAAUGAUCUAUAGCUGAUCUGAGAGGAUGAUCAGCCACACUGGAACUGAGAUACGGUCCAGACUCCUACGGGAGGCAGCAGUGGGGAAUAUUGGACAAUGGGCGAAAGCCUGAUCCAGCCAUGCCGCAUGAGUGAAGAAGGCCUUCGGGUUGUAAAGCUCUUUUAGUGAGGAAGAUAAUGACGGUACUCACAGAAGAAGUCCUGGCUAACUCUGUGCCAGCAGCCGCGGUAAUACGGAGAGGGCUAGCGUUAUUCGGAAUCAUUGGGCGUAAAGGGCGCGUAGGCGGGUUAAUAAGUUAAAAGUGAAAUCCCAAGGCUCAACCUUGGAACUGCUUUUAAAACUGCUAGUCUAGAGAUUGAAAGAGGAUAGAGGAAUUCCUAGUGUANAGGUGAAAUUCGUAAAUAUUANGANGAACACCAGUGGCG
rnacentral:rRNA from 1 species